GGUCUGCACAUGCAUCAAGAUGCCUGGAUGGGACUGUGGUGGAGAAAUGUGAGAGUUGUGCAAGAUUGUUAGGAAUUCCUGGGCACAACUGGUGCCACAGCAAGGGUUGGUUAGAAAGUAUUCGGACAUUUCAGCUCUGCUUCACUUCAGAUGCAUUCACCUACAGGUGCUCUCUGGGCUGCAAAGCCAACUUUGGAACUGCUGCAUCUUUGAAACCUUUUCUGCAGGUUUGAGUAUUUGAAUAGAUGCUCAGGAAACACUUACUGGGGAGUUAAACUCGCCAAAUGGAUGCCUAAAGUGACAUAUUAUGGAGUAAUGGGAAAAGGAGCAUUUUUGUUGACUACAUAUUAGACCCUUUGCAAUCAAGAUGUAGGUAGUGUAUGAGAGG